AACGUACGCUGGCGGCACGCCUAACACAUGCAAGUCGAACGAAGUAGCAAUACUUAGUGGCAGACGGGUGAGUAACAUGUAGGUAUCUGCCCUUUGGCCUGGAAUAACACGAGGAAACUUGUGCUAAUACCGGAUAAGUCUUUACAGAGAAAGCUUUAUGCACCAUUGGAUGAGCCUGCACUUGAUUAGUUUGUUGGUGGGGUAAUGGCCUACCAAGACUGUGAUCAAUAGCUGAUUUGAGAGGAUGAUCAGCCACAUUGGGACUGAGACACGGCCCAAACUCCUACGGGAGGCAGCAGUGGGGAAUCUUGCACAAUGGAGGAAACUCUGAUGCAGCGAUGCCGCGUGAGUGAAGAAGGCCCUUGGGUUGUAAAGCUCUUUCGUCGGGGAAGAAAAUGACUGUACCCGAAUAAGAAGGUCCGGCUAACUUCGUGCCAGCAGCCGCGGUAAUACGAAGGGACCUAGCGUAGUUCGGAAUUACUGGGCUUAAAGAGUUCGUAGGUGGUUGAAAAAGUUAGUGGUGAAAUCCCAGAGCUUAACUCUGGAACUGCCAUUAAAACUUUUCAGCUAGAGCAUGAUAGAGGAAAGCAGAAUUUCUAGUGUAGAGGUGAAAUUCGUAGAUAUUAGAAAGAAUACCAAUUGCGAAGGCAGCUUUCUGGAUCAUUACUGACACUGAGGAACGAAAGCAUGGGUAGCGAAGAGGAUUAGAUACCCUCGUAGUCCAUGCCGUAAACGAUGUGUGUUAGACGUUGGAAAUUUAUUUUCAGUGUCGCAGGGAAACCGAUAAACACACCGCCUGGGGAGUACGACCGCAAGGUUAAAACUCAAAUGAAUUGACGGGGACCCGCACAAGUAGUGGAGCAUGUGGUUUAAUUCGAAGAUACGCGCAGAACCUUACCAACACUUGACAUGUUCGUCGCGACUCUAAGAGAUUAGAGUUUUCGGUUCGGCCGGACGAAACACAGGUGCUGCAUGGCUGUCGUCAGCUCGUGUCGUGAGAUGUUGGGUUAAGUCCCGCAACGAGCGCAACCCUCACUUUUAGUUGCCAUCAUUAAGUUGGGCACUCUGAAAGAACUGCCAGUGAUAAGCUGGAGGAAGGUGGGGAUGACGUCAAGUCCUCAUGGCCCUUACGUGUUGGGCUACACACGUGCUACAAUGGUAUCUACAACAGGAAGCAAAACUGCGAAGUUAAGCAAAUCCCUAAAAGAUACCUCAGUUCGGAUUGCACUCUGCAACUCGAGUGCAUGAAGCUGGAAUUACUAGUAAUCGUGGAUCAGCGUGCCACGGUGAAUGCGUUCCCGGGUCU
rnacentral:rRNA from 1 species